rnacentral:antisense_RNA from 1 species
ACGGACAUCAGGGAUUCAUUCUGCGAACCCUGACCGACCGCCAGAUAAGAGUGCAUACCCAGCUCGCGCAUCUGCUGCUCGCCAAUCACGCGAGUGACGACGUUCUUGCUGAAGGAGUCUGCCAGCUGGCGCGCCUGCGACGCCAGAUAGCCCGCAUUACAGAUAUUUGGCGGCAUAUUGCCGAGAUCUUUCGC